rnacentral:rRNA from 1 species
GAGUUUGAUUCUGGCUCAGGAUAAACGCUGGCGGCGCACAUAAGACAUGCAAGUCGAACGGACUGAUUUGAGAACUUGUUCUUAAUGAAGUUAGUGGCGGACUGGUGAGUAACACGUAAGCAACCUACCUAUCAGAGGGGAAUAACAGUGAGAAAUCACUGCUAAUACCGCAUACCUUGAUUAUAACACACGUUAAAAACAAGAAAGAAGCAAUUCGCUGAUAGAUGGGCUUGCGUCUGAUUAGCUAGUUGGUAGGGUAAUGGCCUACCAAGGCGACGAUCAGUAGCCGGACUGAGAGGUUGAACGGCCACAUUGGGACUGAGAUACGGCCCAGACUCCUACGGGAGGCAGCAGUCGGGAAUAUUGCGCAAUGGAGGAAACUCUGACGCAGUGACGCCGCGUGCAGGAAGAAGGUUUUCGGAUUGUAAACUGCUUUUAACAGGAAAGAAACAAA